rnacentral:misc_RNA from 1 species
ACCCUCAAGCCCAGCUUGGUAUUGGGUGUCGUUUUCCCUCCGGGGGGGCGCACCUGGAAAUUAGCGGCGGUGCAGCCCGGCGAUCGAGCGUAGUAACGAACUUCUCGCUUCGAUAUUCGCCCGGGCGUUUCAGCCGGAUAACCCCUCUAUUACCCCCAAUGAUUGACCUCGGAUCAGGUAGGGAUACCCGCUGAACUUAA